rnacentral:rRNA from 1 species
AUACGUAGGGGGCAAGCGUUGUCCGGAUUUACUGGGUAUAAAGGGAGCGCAGGCGGAUUCGUAAGUCAGGGGUGAAAUCCUACAGCUUAACUGUAGAACUGCCUUUGAUACUGCGAGUCUAGAGAUCGGAAGAGAGAGAUGGAAUUCCAGGUGUAGUGGUGAAAUACGUAGAUAUCUGGAAGAACACCAAUGGCGAAGGCAGUCUCUUGGUCCGUAUCUGACGCUGAGGCUCGAAAGCGUGGGGAGCAAACAGGAUUAGAAACCCCAGUAGUCC